AGCUUUGUGCAGUGGCAGUAUUGUAGCCAAUGAGGUUUAUCCGAGGCGCGACUAUUGCUAAUUGAAAACUUUUCCUAAUUUUACAGGCUGAGUAAUCAGUGACUUUUUGCUUACGUCUUCUGUUG
ensembl:snRNA U4 U4 spliceosomal RNA